GCCUGGGCACGGUGGCUCACGCCUGUAAUCCCAGCACUUUGGGAGGCCGAGGCAGGUGGAUCACGAGGUCAGGAGAUCGAAACCAUCCUGGCUAACACGGUGAAAACCCAUCUCUACUAAAAAUACAAAAGAUUAGCCAGGCGUGGUGGUGCACGCCUAUAGUCCCAGCUACUCAGGAGGCUCCUGACCUUGUGAUCCGCCCGGCUAAUUUUUGUAUUUUUAGUAGAGACAGGGUUUCACCUUGUUGGCCAGGCUGUUCUCAAACUCCUGACCUCAGGUGAUCCACCUGC
rnacentral:lncRNA from 10 species